GCAGCGACGAUAGUGGGAAUUGUUGGGAACUGGAUGAAUCGUUCGUCAUGCGCUAUCAACAAAAAUGCACGAAAAAUAGAGAAAAUCGAACGAGCGAUAAAAGAAAUAAAUGCAGAAAGAAAAAAACAAGAUUUACGCGGUUCGGCAAUUGCCUACGUCCACGGGGAGAGCGAGAGAAAUGUAUUUCACUAUAUGAAGAAAUAGAAGUAUAAACAUAUGCCUUAUGUCUUCUCCGGAUAAAAACCAAGAGCUUUAUGGUGAAUCCCUCAUUUCUCUUAUUCCAACGAAAACUCCAAAAGAAAUUACCUAAAAAGCUUUUCGUAAAACCGAGAAGACCAAAUUAGAGAAGACCAAAUUUCUCCAUCAUCCUC
rnacentral:lncRNA from 1 species